AAUCAGGGAGCUACAGUCGGCAUUCUCCCUCAGAUCGAAUCUGAUUAGGGCAUGGGCACGAAGUAUCUUCUCUGUUGCUCCUUUUUUCUGAGAUUUACCCUCUAUCUGUAAAGACAUAGCUCUCAUUUCUACCACCUGUAACCAACCGAUGACCGUCCAGAACAGGCAUGGAUGGACACUUGAUCCAAACCAACCAAUCAAGACUCUGCCAGCAAUUAUAAAAAAUCUCUAAGCCUAAACGUAGACCUGUGGGAUAGCACUACAUGUAGAAAACCUGAGAAAGUUCACCUACAGAGAGAAGUAUGAAGCUCAUGGACUCAGAAGAUAAAAAGAGCGUGUGGCCACCAAGACUGAGAGAGAUGAGGACAUAGGGAGAAACUGAGGGGCUGCCUGGUGGCUUUCCUGGGAUGGAGUCCUUCAGACUUGACUAUACUUCUUGCCUUUGGACAUUAUGGAAUAGCUCUUUUGAAACUUAAGAUACAUUGCACAUUUUUCUUA